CAAGACGUAGCUAUAAAUCCAGAGCAUUCAGCUUACACCUGAAAGAUGUCUACAUAAUCAAAGACCGCCUUGA
rnacentral:tRNA from 1 species